UACGAAGGGGGCUAGCGUUGUUCGGAAUCACUGGGCGUAAAGCGCACGUAGGUGGACUUUCAAGUCAGGGGUGGAAAUCCCGGGGCUCAACCUCGGAACUGCCUUUGAUACUGUUGGUCUUGAGUCCGGAAGAGGUGAGUGGAAUUCCUAGUGUAGAGGUGAAAUUCGUAGAUAUUAGGAAGAACACCGGUGGCGAAGGCGGCUCACUGGUCCGGUACUGACACUGAGGUGCGAAAGCGUGGGGAGCAAACAGG
rnacentral:rRNA from 1 species